CAGAGCAGCGAGGGUGAAGGCUGAAGCCCCAGGCAGAGGGGCACAAGGUGCAGCUGCACCUGUAGCUAGCCUGGGCUCAGUUUAAAAAACAAAAAAAUGGUGGGGGGCGGCUCAUCUGAUAAUUGCUUACCUCCCGCUUGCAGGGAAGUUGGAUGCUCUGUCAGAAGUAAAGAGGGAGUCCUGAGCUGGUUUUGCUAAGAUGGGUUCUGCACAAUUCAAGACUUCUGAUAUUUUUUGCAUCUUAACUUUCUCAAAACCUUUUCUUUGAAGCAUUGCUGUCCCUGAAGCAACUUCUUUAACAAUUUCUUCUAGUUGGACGCACUGCCAAAGCAGUGCUCAGCAAUGUCUUACCACUCUACAGUUAAAAGUUUGCUGAAAAAACUGAGUGCCUAGAAGACCAAGUUACCUCUACAGCAAAGGCAAACAGUUCUGCAAGACAUUCCCUCUGCUGUAGCUCACGACCAAAGUUUGCAUCAUCUGAAAUGUGGUAUACGUCUGGUUUGGGGUUGGAAGGAGCAGGGCGCUGGUAGCUGAAGGAAGAGCAAAGGUAGCUUCAUGCAGCACAGGCACUGUGGGGUCACCACUCGUGGGAAGUUAGAAGAUUAAGUGCCCUGAUUUACAGACUACAGUAAACUUUAUCCUGUGGGUCAUUCCCUUUUUUGGUGCAUUGCUUUUUCCAAAAUUUGACCUAACAUAUGUAAUGACAUCCUUGUGGCAGAUUAUACAAAAGCAGCCAAUGCAUAACUCUAUUUUCAGUUAAUACCACUUUACCAAGUGAGGGAUCCAUGCUAAAGAGCUUGACAUUUGCUGGCUUUUUGAUAUGUGAACAAACAGUUUUUUCUGAAAUACUUUGAUUAAAUGCAAUCUGUCUAUGAAUAAUUCAGUAAAGUAACUUUCAGCUUGCUAAUUGUUUCAUAUAUAAGGUCUGAGAUGAGCUGAAAAAACAUAGGGCCAAAUAUACUGAAGGAUUUAGACCUCCAGUUGUUCAGACAGUUGCUUUUGAAAAUCCAAAUGUGGAGUCUGUGACUGCUAAGGAUUAAAUGCACAGCAUCAGGUGCUGUUUUCCCCACCCCACUAGGACAGAAUUUCCUCUUUCUCCCCUGUAAGUACAAAUCACCUCUCCACCUUGCACGCCAUACUACAUGUAGGAUCUUCUCUGUCUUCACCUUCGGUGCACCACUCUCUUCCAGUCCCUCAUACAAAUCUGCUUCCUGCUUUGUUUUUUUUUAAAUCUCUUUUCACUUUGGCUUUUCGCCUUCCUUCUCCCUCACCUUUCCCCCACCCCCAAACACCCUAAAAUGAAAAAAUAAACAAGUUGGAUAGUCUCCCACUGGCUGGAGCCCUCACCUGCAGGAAAGAGAGACCUUGGUUGUAGGUCUGCCUUAUUUGACAAGACAGCAGUGGUGGCAUUACUAUUAGUAGAAUAUUAGGAGUUAGAAUAUUAAUUUUAGGAGUGGUUUCAGAGAUGUGGAUUGAGGUUUCUUAUAGGCUAGACCAGAUGGCUUUGUCUGACAGUCUGUUUCAUCCUCCAGUGACAUCCCCAGCUGCAACACCAAUGCACCUCUUGGUGCGUUAGCUUCCUUCUCCCUGAAGUUUUUCCCUAUGCUACGGAAUGUGGUGUACUAUGGGGAGCUGUAAAAUGGCUCUGGGACUGGCCGUGGUAAACCAGCGCCAGGAUGGCUCUCUGCCCAGCCUGGCUAAUCCUGCUGAGAGCACCGUGCUAACCUGACCCUGCUGCUCCCUGGUAUUACAGCGGCAUAGCUCUGCAUGGGGUUGCAUGCAUGCACCAGCUAUUUUGGAGGCAGCUGCGUCUUUCUAACAUAUUUUUGCAUUUCCUGGAUUUAGACAUAAGCGCCUAACUAUCUACUUUAAUUAGUGACCAAUUAGCACCAGUACUGUAUUUUCCCCAUGUGACUGUCUCCAUCCUUCCAUGUCUAAAUCUGUCCAGUACGUCAUAUGGUGUUACUCUGUUAACUGUCUAAACAAAUGUAGCUUUUAAUGGGUGUGCUGUGUGAAAACUCAUGUUUACACAUUGCAACUUCUGCUUUUCUAUUAGCAGUUUCUGCAGAAAAAUGCAGGAAUUAGACUGCUAUCGGAAAAUCAAUACAGAGAGGAUGCAAAGUCAAAGGAAACUCACUUGGGGGGUUCUGAGUGGAUAUUUAUGAGAGAAAAAGAUUGAUCAUCGAGACUAUACAUUAUACAACAUCCUCUUGUACCUCUAGCUUCAGUUGUCUCUUCUAAAUGAUAUGCAUGCUGAUUAAACAGUGAAGCAUUCUGUUUGAAUUCUUUUGUUACCCAUUUUCUGAGAAAAUUAAGCAAACAAAUAAAACCAGUGAUAUCAGAAGGUAGGAUAGGCCUGUGAGUAGCACUUUGCUGGAGAUAGCCAGCAAGGCCAAGGGGUUAACAUAAAUACCUUUUGAUAAAUCCUAUUACUCUCCAAGUGAUGUUGGUAGAACAUGCUCAUGUAAUUUCAAAUACCACUUCAAUUACAAAUGAUAAAUACCUCUUCUGAAGUGAACUGGCUCCAUCAGAGUGUCACUAAGUUGUACCCAUCUGGCACACAAGCUCAUUUCCCUGUCUUCAGAUAUUUAUUGUCAAUUUUUUCCCAGUGAUAUAUUCCUAUUCCUGAACCUUCCACAAAGGACAGAAGUGAAUACAACCAGCCAGCACAGGGCUGCAAUUCCAGUUCAGUCAAGGCAGAUGAAACUUGCAAGCGUUCUAUAUGCAUGAAACGAAAGGGUAUGGUGCACCCUUAUUUGAUCUCCAUCAAAUUAUCAACUGUUGCUGAAUAAAGCCUGCACAGUUGCCAUCAAUUACUCUGCUAUGCUCUCAACCAUUUCUGAAUCAGAGUGUGCUGGAGGAAUCUAAAGCUGCGAUCUUUCAUGGGUGCUUCUCAGAUGACAUUACACUAUGUUAUUCCGUUAUACCAGUGAACCUUUACUCAGUGAAGCCUUGCGUCUAAAUUUCUUCUAUCCUUACUGUCCCAGAAAAAUUAGGACUCAGGCUGUAUCUUACCCCUUUCUAGUUGAUUUUACCUUUGCAAACUGUGUAUUCUGAAAUAUCCCCAGCUGGGGAAUUUUGCUUAAUGAGAAUUUAUUUAGAGAAUUUAUUUAGAAAAUUUCAACAUCUACUGCUCAGAUGUUUCUAAGAAUACGAGCAAGAUGUUUUGCCUAUGUUAGAAACAAAACCCUACCCCUGCAAAAAUGGGAAAUCAUAGUGCAUCUGUUCCCUGGAGCACUGGCAUUUGAUUUUUAGGCAUGCAGUUUUUGCUAUUCCCAUGGAAGACUAGACAACUCUGCAUAACCUCAGAUUACAUGUGCUCAGUAAAAAAGAGCUGCAGCACUCCAGCAGCCUGGCGUAGACAUUCCAAAACAAGCUAGUAGCGAUGCAGGCUCAGAAUCACGAGCGCACAGCCCAGCUCGCAAGAUGUUACAACCAGGCUGAGCGAGAAGCAGAACUGACUAGCCGGUGGGUAUCCUAUGCUGAUGUGGCCAAACGGGUAUCUCUGCCGGGUACUGCCAGACACACGACCUCUACACCCUCUUUAUUGCCCUCAUUGAACUUGUUUCUGAAUCCAUCCAUUCAGAGUUACGAAUCAGCUCAGGAAUCUCUAGCACAGCACCAAUAUGGACCCACUUUGAAAUUUUCAGCAUCUCUGUUCUCCACUCCUUUGUACUGGGCAUCCUCUUCCAGCCCCGGGGAAGCGCCUCUGUGCUCGCAGUGAGAUUCUCGCUGGAAGCAUUGCAGUUGGGAGGGGAAUUCGGUCCAAGCAAAAGCUGGACCUAGACUGAGUGAGGUCAUGGAAGGAAACAGAUUUGGACAGAGAUUCUGGAUUUGAGACUAGAUCUAGGAGAGGAGUUAAAAAAAGAGUGGGACAAGGUCAGGGCGGGCAGAGGAUGAGGACUGCUGCAGCAAAUACUGUGCUGAAAAUGAUAGACCCUGUGUCUGCUAGCACCAGAGCACUCCUCUACGACGUCAAGCAGAUUACUUGAACUCCAGGUGGCCACCUAGUACGCUUCUUAUGCUUGGUGUUAGGUUUGAAAGCCUGGGGUCUGAUUUGUAGAAGUGGUUAGCAUUCACAGCUGCAUCUGAAGUCAAAGGGAGCUAUGCUCCGAACAUACAAAGUGCUGCAUAAUGCUAACUACUUCAGCAAGGCAAACCCCGGUCAUCUCAAGGCUGGCAACCAAAAUUAAUAGAUGCAUUUAACCUUAAUCUCUCUGCAUCUCAUUUCCCAAUCAGUAAAAUGGUGAUAUUAGCUGCAUCUCAUGAAAGUAACUCAUAAGCAUUCAUCAUAUGCUCAAGGUACUGUAACAACGAAUGAUGUAGAAAAGCCUGAUAUGACGUUAAUAAGUCCACAUUACAAGCAGGAUUUAAAUAGCUUUAAACAAAACCUGAGGACAUAUGUUGAACAAAGAGAUUAAAAAUAAGCUGAAAAGCUGCACAUUCAGUGAACACUGUCUGUCACCUGCACCGUGCAAGGCAGUGGUCCUCUGAGCAAAGCAAUAUCAUCACACAACUAAAGGCUAAAUUGUAAGUCAUACCUUCUACAAGUCAAAACAAGUUUUUCGCAGAAAUCUUACCUUUGGAUUAUCCUAAAGUGUCAACACUUGGCUUUUCAACCAUAAUAUUCCUUUAAUGUGGGGUUUGUGUUUUGGAUUCUUUGGGUGAAAGGGAAUGUAAUAAGUUAAGGAUGUAUAUAUGUUUUAAUUGCUUUAUGCUGUGCAUACAAAAGUGUAGUUUUCAUUAAAGUAGAUGAGUAACAGGAAUUAAAAAUAGGAACACAGUUGCACUGUAUCAAGCUAUAGCACAAAGUAAAUAGUAUUUAUUUUCCUGCUCAUUGCCUUAGUUUGAUUUAGGCACUCUAACUGAUAGCAUAACCUAAGUAUGAAAGUAAUGAAUUUUACAGCUGAUUUAUACAUUCAAGUAUAUGUUCCAGCAACAAAGAUUUCUAUUUCUUCUUGCCCCCAAGAGACUUUUUUUACCUGUUGAUGCUUAGAAAUACAGCAAGAAAUCUCUCAACAUUACAGACUGCCCACUUAAAUUUUACUCCAUUGAUUAGUCUGUUUUUCCAUCUUUUCUUUUUUUUUCUUUUUUAAAAAAAUCUC